rnacentral:rRNA from 1 species
GAGUUUGAUCCUGGCUCAGGAUGAACGCUGGCGGCGUGCCUAAUACAUGCAAGUCGAACGCUUCACUUCGGUGAAGAGUGGCGAACGGGUGAGUAAUACAUAAGUAACCUGGCAUCUACAGGGGAUAACUGAUGGAAACGUCAGCUAAGACCGCAUAGGUGUAGAGAUCGCAUGAACUCUAUAUGAAAAGUGCUACGGGACUGGUAGAUGAUGGACUUAUGGUGCAUUAGCUGGUUGGUGGGGUAACGGCCUACCAAGGCGACGAUGCGUAGCCGACCUGAGAGGGUGACCGGCCACACUGGGACUGAGACACGGCCCAGACCCCUACGGGAGGCAGCAGUAGGGAAUUUUCGGCAAAUGGGGGAAACCCUGACCGAGCAACGCCGCGUGAAGGAAGAAGUAAUUCGUUAUGUAAACUUCUGUCAUAGAGGAAGAACGGUGGAUAUAGGGAAUGAUAUCCAAGUGACGGUACUCUAUAAGAAAGCCACGGCUAACUACGUGCCAGCCGCCGCGGUAAG